rnacentral:lncRNA from 1 species
GCUCCCCCACUGGACCUCCAUUUUUCAGACAAACCCCCACAGCCAUAGCUCCCCCCACACACGGCCAAACAGCCCCAAACAGCCCCCAAACCCCCCGGUUUAUUUUUUCUUCUUCUUCCUCUUCUCCAGCCGGCUGGUCAAGCCACACAACCCCCACACAUCCAUCUUUUUCCCUGCGAUCCAGCCCUUUUUUUACUCCC